rnacentral:lncRNA from 1 species
GUAUUUGAGGAGGACUGUGAGCUGGGGGAAGAGAGAUGGUUGGACGGUUGGAGCUUUGGAUGAGUUUGGGUUCCUCCAUAAGCCAACUGAGUGUUGGAACCAGUGUUUAAAUUGUGAAAGAUCAUUGCUUCAAGAUGCUGGGACGGCUCUGACAACGAAGAAGGAAAGACAUCAUGGAAGAUUUUUUUUCUCCACAGAAGAAAAGAACACUGACAGCAAGAAAAAUAUCUGUGUGUUCUCUAAGUACGUAAUCUCUAAUUUUUUUUUUAAUUCACUUAGGAAACUUUGAAAAACAAGAUCUAUUUGAUACCUGAUCUUAAUUUUUUAAACCAUGAAUCA